CUUGAUCGACCCGAGCCACAGCGGCCGGUCAGCGGGUCGGUCCUGCCCGUAGGUGGCGAGCAACGCCUGCGCCUC
rfam:Cryptosporangium arvum DSM 44712 genomic scaffold CryarDRAFT_CAH.1, whole genome shotgun sequence.